rnacentral:rRNA from 1 species
CCUACGGGGGGCAGCAGUGGGGAAUAUUGCACAAUGGGGGAAACCCUGAUGCAGCGACGCCGCGUGAGUGAAGAAGUAAUUCGUUAUGUAAAGCUCUAUCAGCAGGGAAGAAAAUGACGGUACCUGAGUAAGAAGCCCCGGCUAACUACGUGCCAGCAUCCGCGGUAAUAAGUAGGGGGCAAGCGUUAUCCGGAUUUACUGGGUGUAAAGGGAGCGUAGACGGCAGUGCAAGUCUGGAGUGAAAGGCGGGGACUCAACCCCCGGACUGCUCUGGAAACUGUACGGCUGGAGUGCAGGAGAGGUAAGUGGAAUGCCUAGUGUAGCGGUGAAAUGCGUAGAUAUUAGGAGGAACACCAGUGGCGAAGGCGGCUUACUGGACUGUAACUGACGUUGAGGCUCGAAAGCGUGGGGAGCAAACAGGAUUAGAUACCCGUGUAGUC